rnacentral:rRNA from 1 species
UGACCCCAAGUUAGGUCGGGCGACCCGCUGAGUUUAACCAU